rnacentral:rRNA from 1 species
UACGUAGGGGGCAAGCGUUGUCCGGAUUCAUUGGGCGUAAAGAGCGUGUAGGCGGCCAGGUAGGUCGGUUGUGAAAACUGGAGGCUCAACCUUCAGAGGUCGACCGAAACCAUCUGGCUAGAGUCCGGAAGAGGAGAGUGGAAUUCCCGGUGUAGCGGUGAAAUGCGCAGAUAUCGGGAAGAACACCAGUGGCGAAGGCGGCUCGCUGGGACGGUACUGACGCUGAGACGCGAAAGCGUGGGGAGCGAACAGG